rnacentral:rRNA from 1 species
GAUGAACGCUGGCGGCGUGGCUAAUACAUGCAAGUCGAGCGAACAGACGAGGAGCUUGCUCCUCUGACGUUAGCGGCGGACGGGUGAGUAACACGUGGAUAACCUACCUAUAAGACUGGGAUAACUUCGGGAAACCGGAGCUAAUACCGGAUAAUAUAUUGAACCGCAUGGUUCAAUAGUGAAAGACGGUUUUGCUGUCACUUAUAGAUGGAUCCGCGCCGCAUUAGCUAGUUGGUAAGGUAACGGCUUACCAAGGCAACGAUGCGUAGCCGACCUGAGAGGGUGAUCGGCCACACUGGAACUGAGACACGGUCCAGACUCCUACGGGAGGCAGCAGUAGGGAAUCUUCCGCAAUGGGCGAAAGCCUGACGGAGCAACGCCGCGUGAGUGAUGAAGGUCUUCGGAUCGUAAAACUCUGUUAUUAGGGAAGAACAAAUGUGUAAGUAACUAUGCACGUCUUGACGGUACCUAAUCAGAAAGCCACGGCUAACUACGUG